GGAGAAGGCUCGAUUUUUCUUCGAUCUACUCGGCGGCGGCCAUUUCCAGGUCCUCCUCCGCCGUGGUGGAUGCUUCCCGUGGAGGUGCUGCUACUGUGGGCGACGCGCGCAACGAGGAGCGCAUGGUCAGUGCCCGUCGCCAUCGCGCUGCUCGGGAUCGCUGUGCGGGGCCGCCGGAUGCGGAGGCAGAGCAAGGCCGUGGCGCGCUUGCGGCUUGUCCUUGACGAUAAGGUCAGGCCCUUUGCCCCCUUCAGCCCCAUGCCGCGUCCCAAUCGCUUGAUAUUGCCCCGCUGUGCUUGUGCUUGA
rnacentral:rRNA from 1 species